UGUUACAAUGGCAGGUACAGAGGGAUGCUACCGGGCGACCGGAUGCGGAUCUCGAAAGCCUGUCCCAGUUCGGACUGGAGUCUGCAACCCGACUCCACGAAGUUGGAUUCGCUAGUAAUCGCGCAUCAGCCAUGGCGCGGUGAAUACGUUCCCGGGCCUUGUACACACCGCCCGUCAAGCCAUGGGAGCCGGGGGCGCCUGAAGUCCGGGACCGCGAGGACCGGCCUAGGGCGAAACUGGUAACUGGGGCUAAGUCGUAACAAGGUAUC
rnacentral:rRNA from 1 species